UAGGGAAUCUUCCACAAUGGACGAAAGUCUGAUGGAGCAACGCCGCGUGAGUGAUGAAGGGUUUCGGCUCGUAAAACUCUGUUGUUGGAGAAGAACGGGUGUCAGAGUAAUUGUUGACAUCGUGACGGUAUCCAACCAGAAAGCCACGGCUAACUACGUGCCAGCAGCCGCGGUAAUACGUAGGUGGCAAGCGUUGUCCGGAUUUAUUGGGCGUAAAGCGAGCGCAGGCGGUUUUUUAGGUCUGAUGUGAAAGCCUUCGGCUUAACCGGAGAAGUGCAUCGGAAACCGGGAGACUUGAGUGCAGAAGAGGACAGUGGAACUCCAUGUGUAGCGGUGAAAUGCGUAGAUAUAUGGAAGAACACCAGUGGCGAAGGCGGCUGUCUGGUCUGCAACUGACGCUGAGGCUCGAAAGCAUGGGUAGCGAACAGGAUUAGAUACCCUGGUAGUCCAUGCCGUAAACGAUGAGUGCUAAGUGUUGGAGGGUUUUCCGCCCUUCAGUGCUGCAGCUAACGCAUUAAGCACUCCGCCUGGGGGAGUACGACCGCAAGGUUGAAAC
rnacentral:rRNA from 1 species